AUGGUGUGUAACUACUCGCAUUUGCAUAGGAGGACGACAGACCGAAGGAGCAGGGUUACUACACGGGAUCCUCAAGCCAACCACUCCAACCCAUUCUCUCUGCUACUUUCCCAUUCUCAGCGACCACCUCCACUCUAUCCCACUUUCCCCUUUCCAGCGCCGGGCCGGCGACCACCUCCAUACAGCAGACUCCAGCUUGGGGAUGGCGAGGAUGAGGUCCUUGGUGUCCGCCGUCUGCAUAACGCCGUGCGCGUAGUAGAAUGGCGGGGUGCUCGACAACGCCUUGUGCGCGGUGGUGGUAGUCGCCGUCGUCGCCACCGACGCCGUGUCGUCGUCGCCCGUGGCGACGCGCGCCGUCCCCGCCAGCCCGAGCUUCGCACGUCGCCGGGACAACGCCUCCUCCUUCUCCGCGCGCCGCCUCUCGUCUCGCCCCGCACGCCGCACCUCCCCGAGCUCAACGAGAGUGGGGGACUGGAGUGGAGAGCCGCGCCGGCGACGAGGAGACGGAGCGAGGAGGACGGCGGCGGCGGUGCGGAUCUGGAGUGGCACCGGGCUCCUCCUCUCUCGGUGGCGACGAGGAGGCGGAGCGAGGAGGACGGCGGCGGCGGCGCGGAUCUGGAGCGGCGCCGGGCCCCUCCUCUCUCGGCGUCGACCCCGCCUCUCCUCGCCGGCGCUCCUUUGAGGUGCAGCCGACGAGCUCUCCAGCGGAGCAGCGGCAAGGUUCCGAGCGGUGGUGGCGGCGGAUUUUCUCCGGUGAUGGCGGUCCUCGGCGACAUCGCUGGGAGGAGGCUACGGUCACGCCCUGCACAUUCACACUGUGUUCUUUUCUCUCUUGUCUCCUUCACAUUUGUUCAUGGUUGACUUAGGGCAA
rnacentral:lncRNA from 1 species